CUAUACUCAGAUGCCUUUCAAUAAAACUUAUUGGGAGGAAUUGCCCGUCCUAGUCGCUGAAAAGCGAGGUAGAGGUAGGUUACUGCGUGAUUGUAGGAGCUGUAAUGCUAGACCUGAGAGCUUAAUUAAUUGUGUAUUAAUUUAACCUAUUU
rnacentral:sRNA from 1 species